rnacentral:lncRNA from 1 species
AUUGAAAUGAGAGAGUAAAGAGAAAAAUACCUGAAAUGGAUAUGAAGGGGAUUUUUAUUAACGAACGAAACACUAACACGACCCACACACUCACACAUUUCCUUCCCCAUACCUGAAUUUCACGAGGGAAGGUUCGAAGGAGGAACCACUUCAGCCGAUUCCGGAAGGAAAUAUGGGAGGAAGCUUCGAGAAAGAGUCAAAAUGUGUACGAAAAUUUUUAGGCACAAAGACUUUCUCUAGCAUGUGACA